rnacentral:rRNA from 1 species
UACGGGGGGGGCAAGCGUUGUUCGGAAUUACUGGGCGUAAGGGUUCGUAGGCGGUCCGGUAAGUCGGUUGUGAAAACUGGGGGCUCAACCCUCAGAGGCCGACCGAUACUGUCGGGCUAGAGUCCGGAAGAGGCGAGUGGAAUUCCUGGUGUAGCGGUGAAAUGCGCAGAUAUCAGGAGGAACACCAAUGGCGAAGGCAGCUCGCUGGGACGGUACGACGCUGAGGCGCGAAAGCGUGGGGAGCAAACAGG